GGCUGACUGGUGCAGUUGGUAGUGCCCGUGGUUCCCUUAGAAGUGAUUGAUCUUGACACCACGGAGUCUUUGUUCAAUUCAAGGUUCAGCCC